rnacentral:tRNA from 1 species
CAAAAAGUAGUUUAUAAAAAAAAUAUUAAUUUUGGAGAUUAAUGAUAUAAAGGUAUUUAUUUUUUUGA